rnacentral:rRNA from 1 species
UUAAGUCUUGACGAGUAAGAGGGUCGCGGCGGUGAGCGCAGAAGGGUCAGGGCGAGAGCCUGCCUGGAGCCGCCGUCGGUGCAGAUCUUGGUGGUAGUAGCAAAUACUCUAGCGAGGGCCUGGAGGACUGACGUGGAGAAGGGUUUCUUGUGAACAGCCGUUGCACAAGAGUCAGUCGACCCUGAGCCCUAGGAGAAAUCCAAUGUCGAUGGGUAGCUUGACAAAAAUGAAAAAAAAAAAAAACAAAUUUUUUCUAUCAUGUUUGAACAGCUCCUGUCGGGCAAAAGGGAAUCCGGUUCCUAUUCCGGAACCCGGCUGCGUAACCGCUACUUUGCGGGCACUUGCUUGCGAGCGCUCGUCGGGGUAACCCAAACUGGCCUGGAAACCCCGGCGGGGGGUCUGGAAAGAGUUUUCUUUUCUUUAUAAGCGUUCGAGUACCCUGGAAUCCUAUAGCAGGGAAAUAGGGUUUGGAAUGCAAAAAGCACCGCAGUUGCGGCGGUGUCCGGACCUUCCCCCCGGACCUUGAAAAUCCAGGUGAGGGCCACGCGGAAGUCGCGCCGG